GGGGGAUAAGAUGGUUUUCUGGGUAUCUGGUAGGUCGGUCUGCAAUCUCAGAGUCCUGCUGUCCUGGGCUUUCUGGAAAUGGUUAGCAGACUGAGGCCAGCUCUGUGCACUUACGUGGGCCUCCAGAUCUGUAUCGGGGCUACCAGGCUACCCAGCACAUCAGGGCAUGCACAAAGCUGGGUCCCUGCUUGGAAAGCUUCGCCUCCAGCUAAUAAUGCACAUGCAGUAAAAUAAAAAAUCAACAAACCCCAUGUGCCAGAUGUAACUCUUUGUGCCCAUUUGUUCCCCUUAGGUCCCAUUAACGGAGGCAGCUGAAGAACGGGCUACUCCCUACCACUCCUGUUGUUAAUUAAAACAAGAUCUUAACACAAAUGAGAGAAGGAAUUGUCCCCAGGGAAGCCAUCAGAGCUCACAUCCCACCGAGCUUACAGCAAACAGCAUCUCAGGAACCAGUGACUCCAGAGCCACGCAGCCAACAGAGGGAGCCCAAAUUCACAAGCAAUCCGCACAGAGCGUGGACCCGGGGAGCUGGAUGCGCCGUAACCAACUCGUAGGGCACCCACUGCAAGCAACAGCCAAAACGCAGAGCAGGAAAACAGAGCAGCACCUCAGUAAGGAGACAGAAGGCCAGGCUGGAAAGAAAGGAUAUGAAACACGGAGAGAGGAUAAGAGUUCAUAUUUUUAAGCUUAUUCUGCAAAGGGCUUCCCUGCUCACAAAGGUGGAAAUGAUACUGGAUGAUAUACGCAGGCAAAUAUGGAUGUAUGUGUAUAAUAAUUACACGGAACACCAGUUUAUUUUUUCAGAUAACUUUCUGGCUGGAAAGGAAAGCUGCGUGCCCCUCUUCUUCCCUUGGUGAGCACAGGUGCCUGUUUGCCUCUGAUGAGACAAGUUGCAUCGUGCAGCAGUGUGCAAAGACAAGCACAUAGCCAGACACUGCCUGCCCUGCCCAGACCCACAUUGAUCCCAAGGCAUCUCUGUAACCACUCCAUCGUAUGGUAGCUUUCUCUUUGCCCGAGCUAAACACACUGCUAUGCUAUAGUAGUACCUAAAAGGCAGAGAUGAUUUAGCUCUAAGAGGCACAGCAGGUCUGGAUUUCUCAGCACAGGGUCUGGGCUACGAUGCUCAGCGCUGAGCAAACUGUGGUGUUUCAGAGCAGCAAUGGAGAGAUGUGUGUGUGCAGUGCAGGGAUGCAGCCAGCUGAUCCUCCAUGCUAAAUUCAGCAGCUGUGUGCUACAUCUGACCCGAGAACAAACCAGGCAGUGCUGCAAAAAACCAGCACCGACCGUAUCUUCAAAUUAAAAGAAUUCAGUUAUGGAGUGCCAUUUUAUUUUUCCCUCCCAAAAUAACAGAAUUUGAAUAUAUUAUUUGAAAAUAGACAUUUUUUUGUUUUCCACCUCGCUGCACCUAAUGAUUGUGGUGUGAUUAUUAAACACUUCAUAAAUAAUAAUGUGACAUUUUCAGAUGGUGCGUCUGAUUAAGCAGCCAUUCUUCUCCCCCCGACUGUGGCUGUGGACAGAUGAGAUUGCUGCAGACACAGCAAUCUUUGCGCCUCCUUCCCUGGGGAGUGGGGAUCAGAAGUUGGCCCUGUAACCCAAUUAAAUCCGGGAGGAGAUGAGCUGAUCGCAUCAGGCCGGCUCCAAAACUCACAGCCAUCGAUGGGAAGACUUGGCAUUAACUUCUCUGAACUGCAGAUCUGAUUCCUGAGCACAGCGUGAUGCAUUUUCUAAGAAGGGUGUUUUACGCUCUGAGUCACUCCCUCUGCUGUGGGCCCUGGCUUCAUUCAGUUCUGGUUUAGUAUUAGGAAGAGCAAAUGAGCAGUCCCAGAAGGAGAGAGAAGUAAAUCCAGGGAACUCAGAUACAAGCACAGGAAAGCAGUCUCAUCGCUGGAGAAAAUGGGUUUCAUCUGCAACCAAAAUAGCCUGAGAGCUCUCCCAGUGAGCAGUCAGAAUCCUUUGGGGAUCAAUGCACUGCAGAGACACUCCUGGAGGAGUUUACUCCAAAAAGCAUUUAGCGAAGUUACUUAUU